rnacentral:rRNA from 1 species
GACGAACGCUGGCGGCGUGCUUAACACAUGCAAGUCGAGCGAGGCCCACACCUUCGGGUGUGGUGCCCUAGCGGCGAACGGGUGAGUAACACGUGGGCAACCUGCCCCUAGCACUGGGAUAAGCCCGGGAAACCGGGUCUAAUACCGGAUAUGACGUCGGAGGGCAUCCUCCGGCGUGGAAAGGAUUCCGGCUAGGGAUGGGCCCGCGGCCUAUCAGCUUGUUGGUGGGGUGAUGGCCCACCAAGGCGACGACGGGUAGCCGGCCGGAGAGGGCGACCGGCCACACUGGGACUGAGACACGGCCCAGACUCCUACGGGAGGCAGCAGUGGGGAAUAUUGCACAAUGGGCGAAAGCCUGAUGCAGCGACGCCGCGUGAGGGAUGACGGCCUUCGGGUUGUAAACCUCUUUCAGCUCCGACGAAGCGAAAGUGACGGUAGGGGCAGAAGAAGCACCGGCCAACUACGUGCCAGCCGCCGCCGUAACAC